GGAACUCGCCAAGAGGAUCGUCACAAGUCUAGGAGUUUGCCGGAAGUCCACCGAAGCAUCGUCGAGGGUUCGUCGGAUGUUUGACGGAAAUUCGCCGGAAGCUCGUCAGAAGAAGCGAUUGAUGCACCGGAACACGAGUUGCAGUAUUAAUUUCUUAAAUGUUAUAGUUAGUAUGAAGAUUAAGUUAGGAAUGAGAGGUGAUCCCAUUAACUUAAGUUGGAGCCAAUUGGGCC
rnacentral:lncRNA from 1 species